GGGAUGCCACUUUUUUCGAAAAUAAAUUUUCAAAUAAGGUUGAGAUAAAUUUGGUUCCGUCUCUUUACGAGAUUAAGGAUCAAGAUAAUUUGAUUGUUGUAAAUUGCUUAAUACACAUAUAUGAAAAUCAGCUAACAGUAUCUCAUCCAAGUAGGAGCAAGACUAAAGAUGAUGAAAUUGGUUUAUCAAAAUCACAAAUCAGGUGUAGUAGUA
rnacentral:lncRNA from 1 species